rnacentral:lncRNA from 1 species
CUUAGCGAUGUGGACAGGAGUCGAAGGACUAGAAUGAGAUCACUGAACUCAUUUCACUUGUUGCUUACGGUACAGUCCAGCAUGAGCUGGAAAUGUAGGAACCUCAGCCUCCCGAGCAGAAAGACAGUGGCUGACACUUUUCCUCCAUGCUUUGAGAGGAAGAGAAUUGGCUGGAAUAAAACCUUGCCUUCCACAUGGUCGACUUGAAAUACAGCAUUGAAAAGUUCCGUGACCAUCAGUCUGUGGCCUGCCCCUUCUCUUUAUGUAAGUAAAAGUGGUUUCUUUACUUUUCAAGAAGGCGUCAUAUUUGGGAAAUUUGGAUCUUUAUUGGCAUGUUUUCUGGUUGACUUUGUUGUGGUUUCCAGCAC